CCUACGGGAGACUGCAGUGAGGAAUAUUGGUCAAUGGACGAGAGUCUGAACCAGCCAAGUAGCGUGAAGGAUGACUGUCCUAUGGGUUGUAAACUUCUUUUAUAUGGGAAUAAAACGUUCCACGUGUGGGAUUUUGUAUGUACCAUAUGAAUAAGGAUCGGCUAACUCCGUGCCAGCAGCCGCGGUAAUACGGAGGAUCCGAGCGUUAUCCGGAUUUAUUGGGUUUAAAGGGAGCGUAGGUGGAUUGUUAAGUCAGUUGUGAAAGUUUGCGGCUCAACCGUAAAAUUGCAGUUGAAACUGGCAGUCUUGAGUGCAGUAGAGGUGGGCGGAAUUCGUGGUGUAGCGGUGAAAUGCUUAGAUAUCACGAAGAACUCCGAUUGCGAAGGCAGUUCACUGGACUGCAACUGACACUGAGGCUCGAAAGUGUGGGUAUCAAACAGGAUUAGAUACCCCAGUAGUC
rnacentral:rRNA from 1 species